GUGCCAGCAGCCGCGGUAAUACGUAAGGACCGAGCGUUGUCCGGAAUCAUUGGGCGUAAAGGGUACGUACGCGGGUCAUUAAGUUAGAAGUCAAAGGCUAUAGCUCAACUAUAGUAAGCUUCUAAAACUGGAGACCUUGAGUAAUGGAAGGGAAAGUGGAAUUCCUAGUGUAGCGGUGGAAUGCGCAGAUAUUAGGAGGAAUACCGGUGGCGAAGGCGACUUUCUGGCCAUUAACUGACGCUGAGGUACGAAAGCGUGGGUAGCAAACAGGAUUAGAUACCCUGGUAGUCC
rnacentral:rRNA from 1 species